rnacentral:rRNA from 1 species
AAUCUGCCGCAAUGGACGAAAGUCAGACGGAGCAACGCCGCGUGAGUGAUGAAGGUUUUCGGUCCGUAAAACUCUGUUGGUAGGGAAGAAAAAGUAUCUGAGUCACUGCCUGUACCUUGACGGUACCUGACGAGCAAGCCAGGCAUAACUACGUGCCAGCAGCCGCGGGAAUGCGUAGGUGGGAAGCGUUGUCCGGAGUUAUUGGCGUAAAGCGCGCACAGGCGGUCUUUUAAGUCUGAUGUGAAAUCUUACAGCUUAACUGUAAGCGGUCGUUGGAAACUGGGAGACUUGAGUGCAGAAGAGGAGAGUGGAAAUCCAUGUGUAGCGGUGAAAUGCGUAGAGGUAUGGAGGAACACCAGUGGCGAAGGCGGCUUUCUGGUCUGUAACUGACGCUGAGGCGCGAAAGCGUGGGGAGCAAACA